rnacentral:lncRNA from 1 species
UUGCAUUCUAUAACAAUUUUUUUCAAAUUUAUUGAAACGCAAUGAAAUAUUCGGUUACACCUCAAUGUCCCGCCACAAUGCAUUUUUUAAUAAAAAAGGGCAUUUCCGUCUGCCCCAAUUUUUUAUUAAAAAAUUCAAGGCCAAGUAUCCAACAUCAUAAACAUUUCACAGCUCUCGGUCACAACACAAAGUAGCUACGACAAAUUAUUGCAAACAUGGAGGAAUUUAAAGUCUUGGGCUAAGAUAGAUGGAUCAGUGCCAAGCUAUCCUAAGCAGCUCCCUACAGCGAUGACUAGGCAGCCGGAGACACUCAAGAAGCCGCGUAGCUUGGGCACCGACGUAGAGCACCUUCCAAAGUCAAACCAGUGCGCCUACCGAAGCCAGGAUGCAUUUCAUACUUCGCCACCUUCGACUCUGAAAGACAAAAUCAUCACGAAAACGCCAUAAGCCCACAAGGUAGCAACAGUAAAGAUGUUAACAACUUCAUAGUGUUUUUCUUUGUUUCCAGAAAGGAACUAGGUCAUCAAAAGACUAGGAAUUGAAAUUGAGAUAUUGGGAGUAUCAGCAAUCACAUUCCAAAUAUUUUUUUGCAACAAUGCAAACAAAAAAGUAGAUGAUGGAUCGAUUCUAGCUCAUUACAAAAGACACAUGUCAGAUCAUCAACAUGUCUAUGUUUAGCCAAGUUGUCUCGAGUAGACUCUUGUUAUUAAUAAUGAGCUACAACAAAACAUGUACUCCCUCUGUCCCAAAAUUCUUGUCUUAGAUUUGUCCAGAUACGGAUGUAUCAUACAUCCGUAUCUAGACGAAUCUAAGACAAGAAUUUUGAUACAUCCGUAUCUAGACGAAUCUAAGACAAGAAUUUUGAUACAUCCGUAUCUAGACGAAUCUAAGACAAGAAUUUUGGAACAGAGGAAGUAUAUUAUAAGGAACCUUAAUCUUCCAUAUAGCAUCUCUCAGUUCGGAAGAGGAACCCAAUUUCGGAAUCUAAUUGAGUAGGAACCAGAAGGUUGAAGCAACUAAAUGGGAGCAUCACUACCAGAAGUAAGAGUUACAAUUUUGACCAAAUUAAGCAAAUCAAACCACUGACCCAUGAGUACUUCAUCAACACAUCUCCUAAAGGAUAUCUUAUGAGAAGUACCAUCCCACACUUGGGCAACAGAAGCAUUUUAUUGUUGAAAAAUCGCAAAUAGAUCCCAAAAUUGGUUUCCAAAGAAGCAUUAACAAGCCAAAUGUCAUGCCAAAAGGAGAUACUUUGCCCAUCACCAAUCUUCCACUUGUAAAAGCUUUUUGCAGAAGCAAAAACCCAAGAGAUACUUUUCCAAAAAGGAGACCCCUGUCUAGGUUUGUCCGACAAAAUGUGGUUUGUCAGUAGCAUACUUAUACUCCAGAAGUUUUUUCAAUCACUGGGUCUACCAUCAAACAAUCUCUUACUCCAAAAGGCCAACAUUGCCAAAUUAAAAUCCCUAAGAUUAGGGACACCCAUACCCCCAAAUUCUUUUUUUCUUCUUCUGGAGAUUAAACCCUAACAAGCAAGAUGGUACUUAUGAUGAUUGCCCAAUUUGCCCUAGAAGAAAUGAGACAUUUGGGAAGUGAUGACAUCAGUGGCCCACUUACGAAACUUCAUGAUAGACAUAAGGUAAGUAGGAAUACUAGCAAUGCACGUGUCGAGGAGGAUAAGUUUACCCCUAUAGGAAAGAUUCCUGUCUAACCAACCAGAGAUGUCUUCAAUAAUUCUGUCAAUAAUAGGUUGUAUGUCUCCUUUUUAAGUUUUUUUUUAAAUGGAGGGGCACACCCAAAUUCUUAAAAGGGAAGGAGCCAAGUUGACAACAGAAAACCUAAGCAAAGCAACUAGUAGCUACAUCAUCAUCUACAUGAAUAGUGUGAAGGUCACUUUUGUGAAAAUUAACUUUGGUGAUAAUACAUGUUUGAGAAUCAUUUCCUUCUAGUAAUGUGAAAUCAAGAGAGUGGCUAGCCAACGUCACAAACAAGCAUCCCCUAACCGACGUUUACCUGCAGCAGCCACCGCCACACAGCCGGCCGGCCCGCCGGCUUGAAAGUCCAGUUCCCUGAUCUCCGUACAGAAUCCCUCCGAUCCACCGAUGGACGGCCACGGGUGGACGCCGCGUCCGGGCUGGACGGCAGCGUCCGUCCGACAGAGGCGACCUGAACGGGUCAAGCCGUUCAUGCGCUGGGCGGGUCAAACCAUGCACGCUCGAGCCUAGACCGACUAGAGACUAGAGCCGAACGACAAGGACCCAUGCGAUUCCACGCCCGCCACCCUGGUACGUAGUCGUACUCUCGAUCACGACGCCCUAAUCGCGCCAGCAAACCGCGUGUUCGCCGGCAAGCCGACGGCGCGGGGGCGCGGGCAUAUAUAGCUCGUGCCCCGGCACCUUCUCCUCAGACAGUCCGUCAGUCAGUCAUCAGCCACUGACGAGCCAUUUCCAACCCUCUCGUGCGCAUCUUCCACGAGAGCAUCAGCAAAGCAAGAAUAAAGGCAGCUAGCAGCACGAACAACGGCGGCUAGCGGCUGAAGGAGGGGCCGAUGGAGAUCGUGAGGAUGGGGAGCUCGGCGGGGGGCGGGAGCGGCGUGCGGCGGACGGCGUCGUCGUGGCGGGGGACGUCCGGGAGGAGCGACGCCUUCGGGCGGUCGGCCAGGGAGGAGGACGACGAGGAGGCGCUGCGCUGGGCGGCCAUCGAGAAGCUCCCCACGUACGACCGCAUGCGCAAGGGCAUCCUGCUCCCGGGCGCCGUCGCCGGCGUCGGCGGCGCCGGGCAGGAGGUGGACAUCCAGGGGCUCGGCCUCAACGAGAGGAAGAACCUCAUCGAGCGCCUCAUACGCACCGCCGAGGAGGACAACGAGCGCUUCCUCCUCAAGCUCCGCGACCGGAUGGAGCGGUGCGUCUCAGCUCAGCUCAUCACCUCGCUUCUGUAGCUCUGUCCAUCCAUUUCUCUCUCGGCACGACGGGCGCUGAUGUUUGAUGUGCUUGGCAGGGUUGGGAUCGAGAACCCGACGAUCGAGGUGCGGUUCCAGAACCUCAACAUCGACGCCGAGGCCUACGUCGGCAACCGGGGAAUCCCGACGUUCAUCAACUUCUUCUCCAACAAAAUCAUGGUAUGCAUCUUCGGCGCAGCAGCUUCAUGAUCCUUCAGUGUCAUGGAAUGGGAGAACCCAACAAAGUUCACGCCGAGUGGUUCCGACUUCAGCUUCUGAUCCUUGUUUGUUUCAAUCCUUCAGAAUGUGCUGAGUGCUCUGCGCAUCGUGUCAAGCGGGAAGAGGCCCAUCUCUAUCAUCCAUGACAUCAGCGGAAUCGUAAGACCCGGCAGGUGAGCGAGAGGUCACGGGCCUGUUUGUUUUGCAUCAUCUCACAGUUCUUUCCAUGUUUUAAUCGUGUGGAGUUUCUUCAGAAUGUCCUUGUUGCUUGGCCCCCCUGGGUCCGGAAAAACUAGUCUACUCCUGGCCCUGGCAGGGAAGCUGGACUCAACUCUCAAGGUACCCCAUCUUCACAUCCUUUCGUGAUUCUGAGUACUCUGUUUUUCGUUCGAUACAGAAAUUUGCAAUAUGAUCAGGGAAGAUAUAGAGAUGUAAGUUGUAACAUGAUGAAUUUAAAAUUGGAAAUGUUCAGGUGUCAGGGAGAGUGACUUACAACGGGCAUGACAUGCAUGAAUUUGUCCCCCAGAGGACAUCAGCGUACAUCGGGCAGCAUGACCUUCACAUCGGCGAAAUGACGGUGAGGGAGACACUGGCCUUCUCUGCGAGAUGUCAAGGAGUCGGAACCCGUUACGGUAAGUGACAUGGGAGCUGGAAAAAGGGAUAUCUUGCUAUUCACAAAUUGCAAAGUGAUUCUUAUCGUGGUUUCAAAUUGCAGACAUGCUUACUGAACUCUCAAGAAGGGAGAAAGAAGCCAACAUCAAGCCAGAUCCUGACAUUGAUGUCUACAUGAAGGUGAGCAGUUAUUGCAUAUACACUGUGAAUCAAGAACCUUAUUUAUUUAGAAGUAAACGGUAUUGCCUUUCUGAAGUAAAUAGAAACAAACUACAGUUACUAAGUUAUUCUGCUCCUCUAUCCAAACAGGCCAUCUCUGUGGAAGGUCAAGAGAGCGUGAUCACAGAUUACAUCCUCAAAGUGAGCACCAUACAUAACAUGAAAAAUAAGCCAAAAAAAUGCAUAUGCCGCUGACACACUUGCAUUUUUCGUUCAGAUUUUGGGUCUGGAAAUCUGUGCAGAUACAAUGGUUGGGGACGGUAUGAUCAGAGGCAUCUCAGGAGGACAAAAGAAGCGUGUCACCACAGGUAUAUGCAAUAUGCAGUGAAGGAAUAAAUGCGCAUAAUGAUGCCCUUUUGAUCAUGACAGUGAAAUCAGAUCUCUAACAUCAUUGAAAUUUAAAUAGGCGAGAUGCUUGUCGGGCCAGCAAAGGCACUGUUUAUGGAUGAAAUCUCCACCGGUUUGGACAGCUCCACAACGUACCAGAUCAUCAACUCCCUCAGGCAAUCUGUCCACAUCCUCGGUGGCACGGCAUUGAUCGCGUUGCUUCAGCCUGCGCCUGAAACAUACGAGCUCUUUGAUGACAUUGUUCUGCUCACCGAGGGGAAAAUCGUGUACCAGGGUCCUCGAGAAAGCGUCCUUGAGUUCUUUGAGGCCGUCGGAUUCAGAUGCCCUGAGAGGAAGGGUGUUGCAGACUUCUUGCAAGAAGUAUGUGAUACACAAGAGCUCUCUGUGCUGCACGUUGGGACUAGGAACUCAAAAUUUGACCGUGUUUAUCAUGAAUUCACAGGUAACAUCUAGGAAGGAUCAGCACCAGUACUGGUGCCGAAGUGACGAGCCAUACCGAUACAUCUCGGUCAACGACUUCACGGAGGCAUUCAAAGCAUUCCAUGUUGGCCGUAAGAUGGGCUCGGAGCUCAGGGUGCCGUUCGAUCGAACCAGGAACCACCCUGCUGCGCUCACGACUUCCAAGUUCGGUAUCAGCAAGAUGGAGCUUCUGAAGGCAUGCGUCUCUAGGGAGUGGCUGCUGAUGAAGAGGAACUCGUUUGUUUACAUCUUUAAAAUAGUUCAGGUAUGCAUCCCGCUUGUUGAAAUUUUCCUCAAUUCUGAAUUCGGAUAGUGAUGUCUGAUGAAUGUUAUGUGUUUGUACCAGCUCAUAAUCCUUGGGACCAUCGCAAUGACUGUCUUCCUGCGUACGGAGAUGCACCGGGACUCAGUCGAGGAUGGAGUGAUCUACAUGGGCGCGAUGUUCCUCGGCCUGGUCACGCAUUUGUUCAAUGGAUUCGCCGAGCUCGCCAUGAGCAUUGCAAAGCUGCCUAUAUUCUACAAGCAGAGGGACCUGCUCUUCUAUCCAUCAUGGGCGUAUGGAUUGCCUACAUGGCUGCUCAAGAUCCCGAUAUCAUUCCUGGAAUGUGCCGUGUGGAUCUGCAUGACUUACUAUGUCAUUGGCUUCGAUCCAAACAUCGAAAGGUUCUUCCGCCAUUACCUGCUGCUUGUGCUGAUCAGCCAGAUGGCAUCGGGUCUCUUCCGGGUUCUUGCUGCAUUAGGAAGGGAUAUGGUUGUUGCAGACACGUUUGGGUCGUUUGCUCAGCUUGUUCUUCUGGUUCUCGGCGGCUUCUUGAUAGCUAGAGGUAUGUCGAAUCUCCCUCCAUUCAGCCUCUGUUCAUGCAGUUUCAACUGUCAAGAAGAUCAUGCUGAGUUGUGAGUUCCAUUUCUGCAGAUAACAUCAAGGCAUGGUGGAUUUGGGGCUACUGGUGCUCCCCUCUGAUGUAUGCCCAGAACGCCAUAGCGGUGAACGAGUUCCUUGGGCAUAGCUGGAGGAUGGUAAUGCAGCGUCUCCUGGACCCUUGAUCAGUCGAAUUUCAGACAGAUAAUAAAAAAAAUGCCAAUCUUUGCACAGGUUGUUGAUCCGACAGACAGCAAUGACACGCUAGGCGUACAAGUCUUGAAGUCGCGCGGCAUCUUUGUCGAUCCAAACUGGUACUGGAUCGGUGUUGGUGCCUUACUUGGGUACAUCAUGCUCUUCAAUGUACUCUUCAUUGUGUUCCUCGACUUGCUUGACCGUGAGUACCUUCUCCCCAGCCGUAAAAUGCAUUGAUUCGCGCAUCGUUAACAUCUUACGUUGGCGCUGACAUCCUUCUUCUAUCCACAGCACUUGGAAAGGGCCAAAAUGUUGUUUCUGAAGAGGAACUGAUGGAGAAGCAUGUGAACCGCACCGGAGAAAAUGUAGAGUUGCUGCUUCUUGGAAACGAUUCCCAGAAUUCACCUUCCAACGGUCAGUAGAAAUUCUUGCAUAGACUGCAUCAAGGAACACAUUUCCACCGUUGCAUCAUUGUGACAAGUGUAACAAAUGCAGGAGGAGGAGAAAUCACUGGCGCUGACACCAGGGAGAGGGGAAUGGCACUUCCAUUUACUCCCUUGUCAAUCACCUUUGACAAUAUCAGAUAUUCUGUGGACAUGCCUCAGGUAAGCAUAACCAAGAAGUUCUAUCCCGGGUUCAACGCAGCGGCAGCUGGCACUAAUGACAGAUACUAAUUGUGAUGCACAAAUCUUUGACAGGAAAUGAAAGACAAAGGUAUUACUGAAGACCGGCUAGUGCUCCUGAAAGGUGUUAGUGGAGCUUUCAGGCCAGGAGUUCUUACAGCAUUGAUGGGCGUCAGCGGGGCGGGAAAGACCACUCUGAUGGAUGUGUUGGCGGGACGGAAAACUGGCGGUUACAUUGAAGGAGACAUCAGCAUCUCUGGAUACCCGAAGAACCAAGACACUUUUGCCCGGAUUGCUGGUUACUGUGAGCAAAAUGAUAUCCAUUCUCCACAUGUCACCGUUUAUGAAUCCCUCGUGUACUCGGCGUGGCUCCGGUUGUCCCCUGAUGUAGACUCAGAAGCAAGACAAGUAAGUUGAAUGACCUUUAUUCUGCUAGUUCAUAAGUAGCUCAUCUAAUAUGCACACUGCAACUGAUCUCUGGAGUCCAUUUCAUGAAUUCAGAUGUUUGUGGAACAAGUCAUGGAACUCGUCGAGCUGACAUCACUGAGGGGAGCAUUGGUGGGACUGCCAGGAGUGAAUGGUUUAUCCACCGAACAGCGUAAAAGGCUCACCAUUGCUGUUGAGCUUGUUGCCAACCCCUCCAUCAUAUUCAUGGAUGAACCAACUUCUGGACUGGACGCAAGGGCAGCUGCCAUCGUGAUGAGGGCGGUCAGAAACACAGUAGACACAGGAAGAACAGUUGUCUGCACCAUCCACCAGCCCAGCAUCGACAUAUUUGAAGCUUUUGAUGAGGUAAAUUGCAGCAAGGACAAGGAAAUUGUGUGAUCUGUAGAAGUAUUGAUUGUCUCAUGUGAGAACUCACAUGUUAUUCUUGAAUAUUUACAGCUGUUCCUGAUGAAACGGGGAGGAGAAGAAAUUUAUGUCGGCCCCUUGGGGCACAACUCAUGCCAUCUGAUCGAUUACUUUGAGGUGAGGCUCCUUACUGAUCUGGUGAACAGAGCACCCGAUUUCCAGCUUAUGGCAUGCAUGAUAACCUUGCUUGGUGCCCCAACUGUAGGGAAUACAAGGUGUGAAGAAAAUCAAGGAUGGAUACAACCCUGCAACCUGGAUGUUAGAAGUGACCACCCUAGCUCAGGAAGAUGCCUUGGGUGUCAACUUUGCCGAAGUAUACAUGAAUUCUGACCUAUACCGGUAUGUUGCAGUCUCAGAGCGUUGUUUCUGUAUGUUUGUAUACUUCUCCAUCAUUUCACUGAUUCAAAUGCAUCAUGUCAGGAGGAACAAAGCUUUGAUAAGUGACCUAAGCACACCUCCACGUGGAUCGACGGACCUGUACUUCCCAAAACAGUAUGCACAGUCCUUCUUCACACAAUGCAUUGCUUGCCUGUGGAAGCAGCAUAAGUCCUAUUGGAGAAAUCCAUCAUACACUGCAACUAGAAUAUUCUUCACGACGGUUAUUGCUCUCAUCUUUGGCACCAUCUUUUUGAACCUAGGACAGAAAAUGUAAGUACCUUCGCUAACAACUCCAGCUGACACUGAUCCAUAAUGACACAGCGUGAGAAAGAAACUUAUAUGUACUUCAUCUUUACUUUCAGCGGCAAGAGGCAGGACCUGUUCAAUUCUUUGGGUUCCAUGUAUGCAGCAGUUAUUUUCAUUGGAAUUCAGAAUGGCCAAUGCGUUCAACCUAUUGUCGACGUCGAGCGAACAGUUUUUUACCGAGAAAAAGCUGCUGGCAUGUACUCUGCUCUACCCUAUGCUUUUGCACAGGUAAUGGUCGUUGCAGAAUAUUUGAAACGAAAAGAUUGAACUUUUGCUCCUUCAACUUUUUUUUUACAAAAUCUAAUGAUGUUAACCAUUCAACAGGUUUUCAUUGAGAUCCCACAUGUCUUCCUACAGACCAUUAUUUAUGGUCUGAUUGUUUACAGCUUGAUUGGCUUGGACUGGGCAUUUAUCAAAUUCUUUUGGUACAUCUUCUUCAUGUUCUUCACUUUCCUGUACUUCACAUUUUAUGGGAUGAUGGCAGUCGCCAUGACGCCAAACAGCGACAUUGCUGCCAUAGUCGCAACUGCAUUCUAUGCAGUAUGGAAUAUCUUUGCCGGUUUCCUAGUCCCCCGACCAGUAAGUGUCCUAUGACUGGUUUAUUUGUAGUGAACCAACCUGUACAUUUUCUCCAUACUGCCGAUGCUAAACUAUAUGUGUCUUGUCUGGCUUGCAGAGGAUACCAAUAUGGUGGAGGUGGUACUCAUGGGCAUGCCCGGUGGCAUGGACACUCUACGGGCUUGUUGCCUCACAAUAUGGAGACAUUGCAGACGUUACGCUGGAGGAUGGGGAACAAGUGAACGCUUUCAUCCACAGAUUCUUUGGAUUCAGGCAUGAUUACGUAGGUUUUAUGGCUGCCGGUGUUGUAGGAUUCACUGUUCUCUUCGCUUUCGUUUUUGCCUUCUCCAUCAAAGUCUUGAACUUCCAAAGAAGAUAGAGAGGCUAUCUGAAAACAGCUUCAGAUCUCGCUAUAGCUAAUAGAGUGUUGGCACUUGGCAGUAGGGAACACAGGAAAGUAAGUUUAGAGACGGAAUAUUCGGUAUCCGUUUCUUAGGCAAUUAACGUAUUUCUUAGAUCAGUAGUUCAAUUAUGUAUAUAUACUGUAUAUUGUAACUAUCAGAGAAGGGCCCGUUGUAAUUUUGUAAAGUUCAACAGUUCAAAUAUUUUAUGCAAGAUUGUCUAUCUUUGGUUCAGUUGAUACAUGUUCCCUACGAAAAGCCCAUUACCGACUAACAUGGCCUAAAAGAUGACUUGGCUUAUAUAAUUCCGAAGAAUAUUGUGGGAAACUAAACAAAUUUCCAGUGAAAACUAGCUUCGGAAACUGCUGGUAUAAUCAAGAUUUGUGAAUGGUGAUGCGGUGUGUUUGUGUUCAGCAUACAAAUUACUCGUUCACAAGUACUCCCUCUGUAAACAAAUGUAAGACGUUUUGGCAGUUUAAAUAUCAUCAUAGCACUUAGAAAAUAGAGCCUUAAUGAAACUUAAAAAGAAGAAACUCGCAUUUCAACGACUAACAGGGUGCUGCUAUCUGGCUGAAUGUAUUCACAUUUUCAAUCGUUGAGGUUCUCAAAUCCAGUUACUAUCUUGUUUCGACAACUAACAGGCUAUUGUGUCUCAAAUUGUUUUGUUUACUAAAACUCGAUAAUUUUGGAGCAGCAAACAUGAUUUCAUCAUAGCCCUAAGAAUUCGAAAUAGUAGCAUAAGACUAAUGCUGGUAGAAUCGACACUAGGUAAUCAACUCUGAGAACAGGCAUCCACUGAAGUCCGCCAGAUUCUGCAGAUUUAAGUACGGACUACCUGAAGGAGUGUCGCGGUCCCCUGCAACCCAAUCGAUCCCACCGAC